rnacentral:lncRNA from 1 species
AUUAUUAUUAUAUCUCAUUUUAUUAAUGAACUAGUGCAAGACUUAUUUAGUGUCAAAUCAAGAACUAAUUAGAAAAGACAACUCAUGAUAAUACAGACCUUAAAAAGCAAUAGCUAGCAACACCCCAUAUACUCCUAUUUUAGCCUUCAAUAUCCUGGUAAAAACACAAUUAAGUCUUGCCAAAGAACAUUCACAAGUAAAUUCAACAUUAAUUAAGAUUAAGUAUCUACUGCACCUUCAAUCAAUGACUGGGUGAAUAGCAUGGUCAACCAUCCAGUUCCUGUAGCCCUCCUUGUACCUAUGUUAGUUACAUUUUACAUAUUAAGCCACGAAAAUGAAGGAUCACAGCCUGGUAAAGAAAGCCAUUAAUUAAUAGUUUUUGUUUAAAAAGUUCUCGUUUAGAUCUUUCCUAUUCAAUGAAUCAAUGUAAUCCAUGGAGAACUCUUCCAUUUCAAGCAGUGUUAGAAGAUAAUUGGAAAGCCUAAAGAUAAUAUACAAGGACCAAGAUAUCAAUUAGGUCAAAUAGUGAAUGUCAAAUAUAAAAAAUAAAUAAAAGAAGUUGUACAUGAUCAUUUACUAUCAAGUUCUGUAAAACUGAAAAUACCAUUAUCCCUGUAUAGAUUCUCAAACAACUCUUUAGCAAAUUAUAAAAUAGUUAAAAAAAGAACGAAAGUUUUAAAAAAAAAAAUGUACAACAGCCAUAUCAGGAGAUGUUUUUCUUCUCAAUCUCAAUAUUUUCUUGCCGUAAAAAAUUGAAAAGCUUAACACCAAGUGAAUUAUUAAGAAUUCAUCAUUUAAAUUCCCAAAUCGCAAAAUGUUGGUGCAACUAGGAAAGUGCAAAUGCAAUCACUUUACUAACACAAGAAACAUCAAUAGUGAGAAGCCAACUUUGUAUCAAAUUUGAAACAGAUAGAUAGAGGUCAAAAAAAUUAUAAAGACACUCAAUUAAAAGCCUUUCAAACAGCUUUUGCAUGCAACAAGAACAAAUCAAAGGCGAUGUGAAUGUAUUGAAAGACUAAUUUACAAUCAUCUACAGGACAUAAAUAUCUUGGAUAACUACUCUCUACACCUUACUGUCCCACUGAAAAUCAUCAAAUCCCUCCAAACAAAAAUGACAAAAUGGAUAAGAAUUGUGUGGUCAAACUUCAAUAACUUAGCAGCCACAGCAAAAACUUAUGUAGACACGCAAGCCACUCAAAAUAGUCAUAUUGUUUGCUUUCUAAACACAAGCCACAUUGUAAUGAAUAUUCAUAAAUUGCUACUACCAUGUUUGUUAAAACACGUGAAAACCACCAUAACUAACUAAAUGUAACUGAUGAUCAUCAUCACAUUCAUGGAAUCACAUAUCCGACAGUAUUAAUUAGUGCAAAUGGCAUGCUUCUUAAAACUCCUUAUUUAUCACAUGGGCGCCAUUCCAAUCAACCAAUGAUUCUGAUCUAGUCAGCAUAUUCAACCCACGAGCGAGUAAUACCUCCAUUGCUUCUUUAGAUUUCUCAACGAAAUUCCACAUUCUAACCAUACUUCUGAACUUGUUGCUCCCAUAGACUAAUACAAUAUAAAGAUUUCUUCCCACACCACCUCAGCCCCCACUCCUAAAAAACCAAUUUAAAUUCUCAUUGACUGUACAACCUAUAGUCCAUACCAAAUUGAAAAAUUUACAAAUAUAGAACCUCAAAGAAUCUUCUUGCGUUCCAUUUUUUACGGCAAGAAAAUUGACUUUUACCACAUGCAAGUCAACAAAUAAAACAAUCAUGUCUUUGUGAGAUGCACAUUUUCAGACGAAUCUGAAGAGCAAUGAAACCAUAAAAACCUAAUGUGAGAACACCGAGGACUCCAGAUAUCAUCCAUAGAAUCUUUGGUCCACCCUUGCAUGAUGAAAAAAAAUUGAAGGCUUCGUCACCAACUCCCCAGGUUGUUUUGUUCUCCUAUCUCCUAAAUGUAAAGGAAAGACAACCCGUUCUUUUUCCAAUCUUAAGGGACACAGAACGACUCUAGUAUAAAAUAGUCAGUUUCUAUACAAAAAUAACUCCUUUGCACUUGGCACUGCACAUCUCAAAAUAAAAAGCAUGCAAGGAGGAGAAUAUAAUAGCAGUAAACAAGUUUUAUUAACCAAACUUCAAAGAUGCCACACAAGGCAAAAAAGAAAUCUGUACAAGCCAGAUCCCAAGAAUAAUAAUUCCAAUAUACAAUUCAGGAAAACAAUAACUAAAAACAGGUUCAUGAGGCCUCAGCAGAAGCAACAUGUAAUAACCAUACUCUAUUAUUUGAAACACAUUUCCAAGUUUGGUUAAGAUUCUAAACUAUUCUCUAUCUGUCAAUUAUUAACAUGUAAAACAUAAUAAUAUACACUUAAACUACUACAGUAGUAAAACCAGUAAAACAACAAUACCUGCUAAAAAGAUUGGCUACCUCUUCACAUUCACGAGCAUUGUAGAACCAAAUCCCAUUUACUUCUUGGGAUGCAUUUCGAUAUAACAAAUACGGAAUCUGAACUUCAAACUCAAAAUCUCCCAAAAGAUUUUCCACUAAAUUAUCUGCACAUAUACAAGAUAUUGAAGCUUAUCAGUGCAAAAACAUAUACAAAAAGACAUGAAGGUUAGGAGACAUAACUAAAACUUAGCAACAACUGAUAAGCACAACAAGAAAUGAAAUAUAACACGAGUUGUAAACAAGAUAGACACACGGUAUCUAAAAAAUUGUACCAACUCCCUCUCCUGGUUGUCAUAAAACGGCCAAUAUUUAACCCUAGACAACAAAAUUGCAAAUACUCUAGCCUCUGUAAUAUUGGCAUAUAAAUAUUUUCGGUUAGGUACAUUAUAUUCUUCGUUCUAAAACCUCAAUUAUUAGCUAGUACUGUGAUAAAAUGAUUCAUCACUGAAAUUAAAACUUCACGUACAAAUAAUCAAAACUGAAAUAGAAGCAACGAUAAACCAACCUGUAUUACGUCGAUUAAUCACAACAAACUGAAAUCGAGGCUGUGUGUUCCUGAAAAUUGAAAAAAUAAUAAUUUCACCAACUUCAUAUGUAAUACAAUCUCCAAAACAACGAAUAUCAAAUGAAAAAAAGGGAAAGCAUAAGAGAGAAAAGAAUCUAAUUUUAUUGACCUUUUGACGACGAAGAGAGAGCCUUCAACAUCGUUACGACUCCAUAUGCUGAGAUCGAUGUUGAACUCGUAGAAGGUGACAUGAGCGGCCGUGAUGAGGAUCUCCUCAAUGAAUGGAUCGAUUCGCUGAAGAACUGUCAGGUUUAGGAGUUUUGUGCUCUGCUGGUCCAGAUUAGGCAUCAAUUUUCCGUUCUGCGACAUUUUUCAUAGUCCUUUUGGGCUUCUGCCCCGAUCACUAGCCCUCAGGUUUUUCUGUGAGCUCUCGCUCUUUUGUAAAUAAAGUGUUUGAUGAGAUAGCCGAAAGAGAGUGAAAGAGUUGAACAGCCAAACAAGGUGAGGUGAACAGUUUCGGACUGAGACUCGAGAUUGAUCUUUGCUUUAACGUCUUUCAAACAUUUGGGAAAUAGCAUUUAUUUCUUUCAAUUUCUCUACUUUUUUUUUCCUUUAUGUUAUUUAGACCCCAAAAUUAGAUUUAUUAUAAUCAUAUUUUACCCAUACACUAUUAAUCCCUUUUAUUUUUUAAAUUGUCAAUAUUAAUGUAUUAGAAUAAUGUUAGAAAUCCCAAUUAUUAUCGCAAUGUUUCAAUCAUAACUAAUGUGAUAACUCAUCGGUAACUACAACAUUAACUUAAUUAUUAAUGUUUAUCAUGAAAUGAUGAGAUUAUUAUUCAAGAAAAACUUAGUAAACAUCAAUGACUAAUAUAAUAUGACAAUUACAACUGAAUAUUAGUACAAUAAUUAGGAUCCCUAAAGUUAGUGAAUGUAUUAUAAUAUAUGUGUGUUACACCACUUUAUGUCUCUCAAAUUCAAUUAAGUAAUUUCAGAAACCUGAUCUUUUAUUACAUUAAUUAGGAAUGCAUACAUGAACGAAAGAUGUGCAAUUUUUGUUCUAUUUUUCACUAUUAUUUACCAUUCAUCUACUUACAUCACUUGAUUUUUUGUGAUUAAUAUGCUUAAAUGGAUCUCUUAGAUAUAAAUAAAAUAAACGAAAAGUCUAAGAGAAAAAAAAAUGAGGACCGAAAUUAUUACACCUACAACAAAUUUGCCCAGAGAGCAAUAAAUCAAACUUGCUUAGGAAGUACAAUGAUUAGUUAAUAACUAAAAGAGCCUUCACCUGACAUGUUAAAGCUUCUGUCAAGCAAAACACCCAUUGAAAGCUGUUUAGGUCCGUCUUAGAUCAUCGGAAAUUUGACAAAAUCAUAAAAACCCUCAUCUUAUGAUAAUCUUUUCCAGAUAGGUGACUUACUAGAUCUCCUGCCAAGAGAAUAUCUAUGGUUUUGAACCUCCAUUGAAAUUUCUUUUUCCCUUUUUCUUGUUUUGACUUGGAACAAUUUAUUUGAUCUUUUUUAAAGGUAAAAUAACAAUUUAUAGGUUGCCAACAUCGUAUUCUGCCAAAUCCCACCCCAAAACAAAAAAAAAAAAUCAAUGGGUUGACAACAAAUAGCGCCUACUCAACUUAUGUUCUCCAACGGACGACAAUAUGCAAAUCGACCUAGUAGCCACAUUUUUCCCCCUUUCAACCACCGUUAGGCACCUUUUCUAACCUUCCUUCAUUGCCCACACCUGCAGAACUAUAAUAAAAAGACUACAUUAUUAUUGAGGUAGAGAAAAUAUACAGACUGUAUUAUUAUUACAUCCCAUUUUACUAAUUAACUAGUGCAAGACUUCUUUAGUGUCAAAUCAAGAACUGAUUAGAAAAGACAACUCAUGAUAAUACAGACCUUAAUAAGCAAUAGCUAACAACAUCCCAUAUACUCCUAUUUUAGCCUUCACUAUCCUGGUAAAAACACAAUUAAGUCUUGCAAAAGAACAUUCAUAAGUAAAUUCAACAUUAAUUAAGAUUAGGUAUCU